GUGAAUCAUCAAAUUUUUGAACGCAAAUUGCGCCUUUUUCGGAAGGCAUGUCUGUUUGAGGGCACCAUUUAACAAAUAAUGUGCACCGUUUUGUGUGUGCACACGUUGAUGAGCUUUCCAGGAAAAAUUUUUUUUUUUUUUUUUUUGGGGGGGGAAAAAGAAAAGGGGGGAAAAUUUUUUUUUAAUUUGGAGUGAGG
rnacentral:misc_RNA from 1 species